rnacentral:tRNA from 1 species
UGGGGUGUAGCUCAGUGGUAGAGCACUUGCCUAGCAUGCAGGAGGCCCUGGGUUCUAUCCCCAGCAUAAUAA